UCCGGGGAGGAAUGUUUUCCCUCAGCCUCCACGUCUGCAGGGGGAAGCGUCUAAAAGUCGCCAGCUAUUGGCCUCGAGGGCAAAGGCAAAGGCCACGAGGCACGUCCCUUCUGGACGCUGGGACCGCGUGCACUUUCCCCUUUUUUUUCUUGGUGGCUCUGCGCACUUUUUUUUUUUUUUUAACCUCUGUCCUCAAAGUCGUUACAAAGGUUUGUGGGAAUGGAGGGGAAGCAGGCAGGUAGGGCUGGAUCUGAAACGGGGGAAAGAACGUGCCAGUCUUCCAGACAUUCAUUAUUCCUUGCCAGAGCUCACGGGUACAGAGCCACGGAAGGGAAUAAACCUGUUGUGGAUAGGGCUCAGGUCUUUACCCAGCACUAUGGAGAGACCAUCUGGCCGCAGUCACAACCAGUGGCUUUCAGACUGUGGUCUUUGGACUCUAAUUAAGCGCUACUCCUGGACCUGUUUCAUGCCAGGCUAUGGAGUGAAGAUUCAGAAGCCUCCUAAGGUGAGAACCUGCGAUUUCCCCCGCAAUCCCUCGGGUGAUCCUGAAGCACCGUAGUUUCUGCAGGCCUCUCAUAUCCUAAGAAGUCUCAUUGAAUUAGGGUCAGGGAUUUAGCUCAGUGGCAUAAGUGCCUGCCUGGCAAGUGCAAGGUCAUGAGUUCAAUUACUGGUACAACACAGUAGAAUACAAUCACAGAGAGAUCUUUAAAAAAUUCGGACUAGGAUUUUGUUUUAAGAAAAUUUACUUUGAAGUACAUCUAUGCUUUCUGCCUGUUAUCUCUGGGCAAGGAAAACUGACCUAAACUCAUUCAUCCAACAAAUAAGAGAUGAGCCUAUGCCAUGGGCUGAAUGCUUUUCAGGCUUCAGAAAUAAGGCAGUGAGCAAGAGGUAAACAUGCCUUUCCUCCUGAUGUUUGCUUCCUAUUUGCAAAGCUGCACAAUAAACAGAAAAGUGGGUAAAAAUGUACAUGUUGGAUAAGAUCUACAAAGUAGGAGAGAGGACAGAGGAGUCGAGAUUAGAGUUUGUUCUUAAAUAGGGAUAAAUAUAAAUGGGAAACAUUGAUCUCCUAACCAUAGCCAUCGAUUUUCUUUACCCUCAUAUUUUCGAUAAUGCGAAAUAAAAAUGCUGACACCAUCUCCGGCUUCCUAAUUCAGCCAAGGAGAUAGAGUUCAACUCUGGAGAGCACUAGUUUCCUCCAUCCUAAAGAUGAGUCUUCCCUGGGAUUUUACUUAACCGCUGGGGACGCUGGGGACGCAGUGGUAUUGCGGGCAUGUCUGGCCUCUGCCUGCCAGGAGUUCACAGCCUGGUGGGGAAAGCAGCAGGGAAGGGUGUGGGAUGGGUGUGGGAUGGGUGUGGGAUGAGAUCUGACCUGGUCCUAGGAAUCGGACCUCCUUCCAUCAGUGUAGACACUGUAGGAAAUGUCAGAUGUCCUCAACCGCCAGCGAGAGGGAAUGUGAGUCCAGAGGUCAGGAAAGUAAAAAAUUUUCAAUUCCCUGCAUGGCUGUGCUAAGGAUUUGAAAGCCUCUUCACAGUGAUGAACAGUAAAACUCCAUUUUAAUGCAAGAAAGCAUCUCUUGAUCUGCUCUGUGUUUUGAAAAGACUGCUUACAGCUACAGUGUAAAUUUUGAACUUAGGAACGUGCCUGUGAAACAUACUCGUUUAUUUUUUACAAGUUCAAACCUCAAAAAAUAUAUAACCUAGGCAUCUCUCCCAGAGUACACAAUUUUUAGAAUAGACUCAAUGCUUGUUUACAUAAACGUUGGAAGUGAAGCCAUAUUCUGGUUUUAGUUAGGUUUCUAGGCAUAGGCACCUGUGAUAUACCCAUUCCCACUUCAUGUUCAGAGAAAAACACGCUGCCUUUAUUGCCUUUCCUUGUUCCAGCCCCAUUCUGGUCUUCUUCCUACUCAGGAUCUUCCGAGUAUUAAAUAUCCUUGGAGGUUUGUAUUGUGUAUUAUUCAUAAUAUAAUAUACUACUAGUAACUUCAAAAACGUUUUUCUUGGUAAUGAAUCAGUUUGUAUUUUGACCUUCACUGAAUCUUGUCUUCUGUUCUUUUGAUUUAUUGACACAGCCUGUGAUUAGGGUCAAAUCCCAACUUUCAUAGUUUCAAUUCUCAUUAAAAAUGAAUGGAGUGUAUUUUAAGGCUACCACCCUGUGGAAUAGUGAUUGAAAGGGGACUUUAAGAACAGGCCACUUACGAGCUUUAAGAGCAGCCUGUUGUUUGCCUCUUGAAAACUUCAAUUUCUUCUUUAAAACAGAGUUUAUAAUUGUGUGCACCUCUUGCGAUUUUUAUGACCACCGAAUGAGAUAAUACACACAAGUGGAUGGCACUUAAUAAGUGCUCAGUAGUGUUAGUUAUUAUUGCUCUGUUGUACCGCUGUCCCCAGCAUCACCAGCUGGUUCCAGGACCUGCAUCCCUUCCUUGGAUACUCAAAUCUCAAGUUUCUUUUAUAAAAUGGCACAAUAUUUUCAUGUAACCUGUGCAUAUUUCCCCCCAGAUUUCAAAUCAUCUCUAGAUUAAUUAUAAUAUCUAGUACAUUAUAAAUGCUGUGUUGUACAACAUUGUUUAAGGAAUGAUAACAAGGAAAAACCUGUGUGUGUUCAUACAGAUCCAUUUUUUUCCCCAAUAAUUUUUGCCUGAUGGUUGGCUGAAUCCAUGCAAAGGGAAGCUGCAGAUAUGAAACACGAGGCUGACUGUCCUAUUAAAAGGGAACGUUAAACUAGAACACGGAAUUCCUAUUUAAAUAUGACCACGGAGCAGGUUAAAACAAUCCAAAGCAAGACCUUGAGUUUUCACCUUUCUGAACCUGAGCAAGCCUCACUAACCAGGGACAGGAGGUGUAACAUCAUUAGGAUUCUGGGCAAGCAGCACUGUUUACCAGAGAGAUGAAAGAGAGUUCCCAGGCCAGCUGGGAGUCCGUCCUCUUCAUCUAAGCUUCAACUCAUCACGUGUGAACUUUCAUCUGUCCGUCGCAGGUAGCUGACAGUAGCCUGAGUUUGUCAGCUGAUCUGCAUGAACUGAGAGUUUGGUGUCCAACACUGCACUCUAAUAUGCAGAAGUCACUUUCACACUGAAACCCUUUCCCCACCAGCAAUCACCAUCCUGGAAAGCUCUUCAGUACAUGAGAAUAAAAUCCAUCACAGAUUACACCAGGCUCAAUGGCUUUUGUUAUUAAUUAUCUGUUCUCUGGGACAAACGUUUAAAAAAGACUUCACACAACGACCUGUACUGUUUUCUUCCUCAGUUUGGGCAUCAGAUGCAGGUAGGUUAUUCUCAGGGCUAACUUGCACUAUUUGGAUUUUUUCACUUUCAACAUGGUAUUACCAAAAAGAAAGAAAGAAAAAAAAAACAAAAACAAAAAACUAACUCCUAACCUGUGUGGCAGAGGACUCAAUGAUAAAGGAGACUACUUUUUACUCUUUUUUUUUUUUUUUUUUGGUUCUUACCCUAUUUUAAUGGUUCAAAUUUGAUAUCACUGAUGUUGUCUAAGGACACUUUCUUGCACCCCCCCCCACCAUAAUGCAUUAAAACAAAACUUAAAGUGUCCAAGGUGCUCAGGCAUGUAAUGCUGGUGAGUAGAGAAGGUCAUGUGGAUGGUGAGAACUGGGGAGCCCAGGAUGCACCCUAACAAGACAGCUGCUGUGUAGAAACUUCCUUGCUGGCAUGGGGGGAACACAGCAAUCCCAAUACGCUCAGCUUAUAUUUUUAAAAAGUCUCUUUCACUCUCUCUCUCUCUGUUUUUCUGUCUCCCUUUUUUUUCUUUUUUCUUUUUCCCUCCUUACAUCCUCUUUUCUUCCCUUUUCUUUUUCUCCCCACUUUCUCUUCUUCCCUCUCUCACUCUCAUCUUUUCUUUCUUUCCAGUGCUAGAGGGUGAACCCAGGGCCUUUCCCAUGCCAGGCAAGGGCUAUACUGAGCUAAACCUCCAGCCCCAUUUCUAUAUUUUUUAAAAAUUCAAAUCUCUGAAAUUUUAGAUGUUGGCAACUAAUCUCUCUCUCAAAAAAAAGUCUAAACCCAUUCCUAGUAAUUUCAAUUUUGGGCUUAAUUUAGUCCCAGGACAAUUAAUUUAAACCUCUGGUCUAGUGAUAUGAGCCAAGAACUCUUUGGAAGUUUCAUUCUCUCCCCUAGGAACUAAAAACCUCCACUGCACUUGGAAAACAUUAUAAUAUAAUUUGUGUUCAAUGGAACAUUGUGAAAUAACUGGGGAAAAUAAUUUUGAUUUGUAAUGACAAAGAAAAAAGUUUGAAAAUAAUGUUACACAGUAAUUAAGGGUAAUAAUUAAAUUUGAGAUUGAAUGGAUGUGCUUAAAACAUACAUUUAUUUAUAACUACAGUGAUUCUCCCCACUUCUUAUUCUAACUGGUAUUUAGCCUUUUUAAAAGCUUUCAAAUACCAGGUAGUAGAGGUGUAAGGUGGAGAAAGAGAGAAGGGCGUACCAGUGAACUAAAUGUAUCCUCUUUUAAUUUUACCUGAAGUUACUCUCUCGUUCAGUUGGACCUUUUUGACUAUAGCAUUUGAAUACUUUAAUUCAAAAUAUGCAAAAGGUAAGUUUAAUCUCCCAGCAAUAUUUUUUAAUAAGGGGUAGUGUCUGUACAACAAAUAUGAUAUACAUCUCCCUUCUGGUUAAUCAUUUAAACCCCAACUGUGAAGGAGCGUGGUGUCUCACUUUCAUCCAACAGAUACCCAUUCAACACUGGAAAAGGCAUGUAGCAUGCGAAAGGAAGCCACGAGGUGUGUGGCUGGGAGGGAGGGGACAGCUGUUAGGCAAAACCUGGGGACAGAUAGGGUUCUGUCCUCCAGUCAAGAAGAAAGUUUGAGCUGCUGAAUUGUCAUGGAGAUGUUUGAAAUAUUUAUGGCAGAAUUUCCUCUUAGAGUCUAGCUCAUCUAAAAACUUAGAUGUACAUCAGCGCAAGGCUUCAUGGCUAAAAAUGGCAGGGAAGAGAGUGAACCCAGGAGUGCUGGCUCUAUCUGCAUUUGACCUUUGCCAGUGACACUGAUUGUUUUAUGUCGCUUCUCACUACUCCAAAACCAAGCAAGUGUGAAGUUGAAAAGUUUUGAUUCUAUUUGACUUCAUGAAAGCAAUUAGAUUACUAUCCCACUGAAUUAUCCAAUUUGAAGGGCAUGCUUUGAUUCUUUGUCUCUUUUGCUAUUAUCCCCGUAUUUAGUAGUUCUUUUUGAGCUGGGAGCACAUAAUUCAUUGGUAGGGGAGGGUGAACAAUGUUAUUUUGUAAGAACUAAUAGUAUUUAAUCUAUUGUUUUCCUAUUAUUUAAAUUUUAUGAUUGUAAGAUAAUCAUUGUAAAAAAUUUAGAAAAUAUGGAAAGAUAUAAAGAACACAAUAAAACCUCAUAAGUAGACUACCAGAAAUAAUUCUUGUUGUAUUAUAUUUGAAUGUUUAGCUUCCCAAUCAUACAAAAUUGAAAUUAUAUUAUAUAUAGUAUGCAAUAUUUUAUUUCACUUAACUAAUGAGUAUAAUUUAUUAUAGUUGCAUUAUAUUCAUCUAAUAGACAUACUGUUAGUUAAUUAACCAAUGUUGAGCAUUUAUUCACCAUUUUUAAUGAGGAUUCUUAUGUACCCACAUUUUUAUUAUUUCUUUAUUGUCUUUUUUUGUCUUUUGAGACAGAAUGACCCUGUGCAGUCUAGGCUGGCCUUGAGCUCAUUUUGUAUCCCAAAUUGGCCUCAACUUGCAAAAAUCCUCCUGCCUCAGCCUCCUGAGUGCUGGGAUUACAGGCAUGCGCCACCAUGACCAGCUCUACUUACUGUUUUUUGAGACAGGAUUUUGAGAUGCAGUUCAGAAUGGCAUGAAUUCAUUAUGUCGCCUAGGCUGGAAUGAAACUUGCACGAAUCCUCCUGCCUCAGCCUCCUGAGUGGUGGAAUUACAGGCAUGAGCCAAGUUAAUUUUUUUUUUUUAUAAUUCACAUUUGCCUUAGGUUCACUUAUAUUGAAUUGAAAAGUCAAAGGAUACAUCUGUCUAUUUGAAAGUUUGUACUUUUUUACAUUUUUACUGUGUUGAUAAACAUUUUUAUUUAGCUCUCUACCAUCUUGUUGACAAGAGUAGUUUAGUUACUCUCAAACUGUGACUUUUAAAAUCAGUAUCUAAAUGUUAUUCUGUAAUAAAACUGUCCAUCAUAAUUGUUUGCCCUAAGGAGAUGGUUUGUGUUCAUGUGAACUCUAACGUGUUAUUCUUUCUUUAUAGUGGAUUAAUCCUGAAAUAAAGGUACUGCAGGAUGGGUCUGUACACUUGCUUGAAAAGUAACAGCAGUUCCCUUUCUCAGCUGCUAGCUACUGCACGUUGAUCAUUACAGUGUUGCUUCUGGAAACCCUUACUCAGCUCCAGGUCAUUAGCUUGCUCUAACAGUCAACAGGAGAAUAAAACUGUGCUGCAUCUCCAAGGUUGGAUUUUCAUGUGGAAUUCACUGGUAUCUCUUAUUAAUUCAGUUGUGUUUUGGGGAAUCAGUUAUACUGGGGACUGAACCCACAUACAGCAUGGUAGGCAAGUGCUCAACUACUGAGCUACAUCCUAGACUGUUUCCUUUUCAUUCCAAUUAGGAUCUCACCAAGUUGCCUAAACUGGUCUGGAACCUAAGACCCUCCUCCUUAACCUCUAGAGUAACUGCUUCAUAGCAUUCAGUUCUAAUUCACUCGUGCAUUGGGAAAGACUAAUAUUUGAGGAUUUCUCAGUAGAGUCAGGACUAGAUUGAACCUCUCUGACACAGAUGUUCCAUGCUGAAUGAACAACUAUUUCAUACCGGUUGUUGCCAUUAUUUUGAUGGGCUUACAAAACGAGUAUAUAAAUGGCAAUAAACGUACCAAGAUACUAGAAAAGACCACCAAAUUUGACAACUGAGUUCUCCAGAUGUCUAAAUCGCCAAUAAAAAUAAAAGUCUGGCUACGUAUUAUUUACUUAAGCUAUAUAAAAAUAUUAUGAUGUGAAAGGUUGAAAAUAAAACACAUAAGAGGCAAAUAUAUUAAGGAAAAUAAAAUUAAAUUAGCUAUAUAGAUAUCAGAAAUGAAACAGUAAUUCACAAAGAACUUAAGUGAUGAAGAGAAUUACUACAAAGCCUACAAAGUUCAUUUAAUAAGAAAAAAACCUAUUUUGAAUCUGUGUGCCCACAAUAAAAUAGCUUCAGAUUUUACAAGCCAAAAAUAAACAGAAUUAGAAAAAAGGACAAGUAUUACAUUGGUUGGAGACUUCAAUAGACUUCUCAUAAUUCUGGAUAGCUUAAAAAAGUAAAAAAAAAAAUUUAAAUCAUCACAUGGAUGUAACUGUACUCAUUAAUAAGUAUAUCUAUUCUUAAUGCUGUGAUAUUAAGAGAAAAUAAAAAAGAAACCAAAAUAAAAGCACUGAUGAUAUACUAAACCAUAAAACAAAUCUCAACACAUUUCAGAGAGGUAAUAUCAUAGCAGUAACUGUAAAGGUUUUAAAACAUUUUCUCAAAAUCUUUGGCAACCUUCUCAUAAAUAGAUGGAGUACUGUCCUCUCCUUCUGAACCCAGAUGAUCCUUUGUGACAUUUAAUGAAAAAAAUAUAGCAUAAUAAUCCCACUUUACUUUCAAGAUAAGGUAGGUCUGUAGUUUUAGUGAGUUUUCCUGGUAUAAUUACUCUGGAGUCUUCAGCUGCCAUGUAAGUUUGGUUACUUUAAAGCUCUAAUUUAAAGACCUCGGUAAGAAUCUGCAGAGGAUUCCUGCUCCAGCCCUUUCAGCACAUAGUUGUCUGAGGUUUUUCUGCCCAAGCGCAUGUAAAUAAAGAGGUCUCUGAGACACCCUAACCUCAGCCACCAUCUGACUCGACUGCCACUGAGACCUAUGAUGGGUAAGUUAGGUAUACACUGGAUAGGGUUAGCCCCUGAUAGCUGUUAAAGCAGGUUAGACCUGAAAGCUGAUAAAGCAUUCUGCCCAGGUAUGUCUGUGAAUUGCUUCUGCAAGAGUUAACAUUUGAAUCAAUGGACAGAGCAAGAAAGACCCACUCUCAACCGUGAACAGGCCCCCUCAAUCAAUGGAGAGCCCAGAUAAACAAAGAGAUAGAGAAAAGGCAAACUGUUCUCUCUGCUGGAUCAAGGACAUCUAUUUCCCCUCCCCUUUCACACUGGAACUUCAGCUUCUCUAGCCUUGACAAGCUGGGACUUACUAUCAGCCCCCAGACUCUCAAACCUACAGCUUGGGACUGUGAGUUCUACCACCAGUAUCACUUAGUGCUACACAAGUACAAACGUCUUUGACUUAUGCUGAGGUAGACUACCAAGUUUCCGGAGUCAACAUUUUGCAGACACUACUGUGGGACUUGUGAGUCUUAUAUCAAGUCAACCAAUUCCCAUCAUAAAUUAAUUCCUCUAUCUAUCUAUCUAUCUAUCUAUCUAUCUAUCUAUCUAUCUAUCUUUGCAUCCUACUGGUUCUGCUUCUCUAGUGAACCCUGACCAAUACAGACUCCGAGGAGAAUUGACCAGCUGUGUCCAGUCAACACUCAGAUCCAUAAGCAAGAUCGAACUCACGACCACCUGCUUGCAAGGCAGGUGCUUGUGCUGCUGAGCUAAAUUUCCAGCCCCAUAAGCAACAACAUGGAUGAAUCUUGGCAACUAUGUUGAGUGAAAUAUCAAAAUUGAAACUAAAGUGCUUACGUGAUGUCACAGUUAAGCCUGAUUGACAACUUGAUUGGCUAAGGAAUGCCUCAUGGAUCAGAAAAGCACACUGGGAUCAAACUCACGACCUUGCACUUGCCAGGCAGGCGCAUAUGCUGCUGAGCUAAAUCCCCAGCCCCUGUGGAAGUGUUCUUAUUAAACAGUUCCAGAACGACUGAACUAGUGAUACUGAAAGUGGUAAAUAAACUUUUAAAUAUCAAAUAUAUAACUUAUUUAAUACAAUCACCAAAUUUCUCUUCUUUCUUCCUUUAUGUAUCAUUAAAGCCAAUAAUAUCAUUAGAGAGAAACAAUGAUAAUAGUAGCUGUAAUAACUUGCUUCUGUAGAGGAGCAUCCAUUGUCCACUGUGAAUGUUGACUCUAGUUUUAUUACAUGGAUUCUAAGAGUAGGGGCUUCCUUAUUUAUUUCAGUUAUGUUUUUUUUAAAGAAAGAUUGUCAUUAUUGCUACUGCUUAUGCUCUUAUAAUGGUUAAAGAUGGGAGGAUGAACUCCAAACUAAGGCUGUGGGAAGUUUUAUGAUGUUAUUCAGUACAGAGAAUAAAUGGGAAAAGCAAACCUGGAAAUAGAAAUCCAGACAGAGGACAUUCCUGGCUGCUUUUGACUUGCCUGGGCCCUGUUGCAUUGCUUCUAAAUAAUGCUUUGAAAUCUGCUGAGAAUUCAGAAAGAAUACAGGAAUGCUGAUGAGUGUAGUAUAAAAUUUAAGCCUCUUUAAGAUAAUUGAGCUAAAUUUGAACACAAUAAAAGAAAAAAUGUCCUACCAGCAUCCCCAAAAGAGUGUUGUAUGCUCACAAUUUACAUUUAUUUCUUCACAAUUUUUUUCUUCAUUUGCCUGGAACAAUGGUUUGCACACUGAUAUCUAAGAAGCUUGGUUCAGUUCAACCUUUUCUUUACUAGGCCAUAACAGAAAUUAGACAUACCAGUUGUAUCAUUCAGACUCUUCUGGGAACUGGGUUUGUAAACACAAUAGUGGUCUCCUGGAGAAGUGAGAGAUCUAAUGCAAAACUCUGACCUAAAUAUAUCUCCAGCAGGAACCUGAAGAUUGACAAAUGGUGCCUCAUUCAGCUUCCCUAAGUUAGUAUGUUUUGAUUUCUUUUCCCCUUUCCAAAAUGAAUUUACUGCUUUUCUGUACUAGCAGAUUUGGGACCCACAUUAUGCUACAGCAGGCUUUUUCAUUCCUUGUAUCAUCAAUCUCAAGCUUUAAAGUCAGAAAGGGAAGUUUUUUCACAGUGACUUCUAGAUCUUCUGGCUGAUGUCAGGCAUGCUAAUCUGCCCAUUCUGCAGUUUUGCACAGCCACAAGCCCUGACCUCAGAACUGUGAGUGACAGAACAGGUCCAAUGCAAGUGUCUGAGAAAGUUGAGUCUCAGGGGACAGCCCAAGCAAUUUUAGUGUCUGGUCCACUGACAGCUAAGCAGGACCUGCAGGGAGAACAGUGUAUAUUUGUGUAUGUGCUGCAUAAUGGGACACAGACAUGCUGGUACAUCUUCCGAAGUAACUAAAGCCUUAAGAGUUUUUUCUUUCUAAAGCCUUCACCUGGCAUUUCUUCACCCUAUGCUCUCACUUCUAUCUCAAGUGUUUCCUUGAAUGCAAACACGUACUUGACCAGCAAUGUGAUGGUCAUGACACUAACUGGAAUUCUCUCAGCAGAAUCACAACCCAGAAUACCCAGUUAUCCUGUUAU